GGGGAAUAUUGGACAAUGGGGGAAACCCUGAUCCAGCCAUGCCGCGUGAGUGAUGAAGGCCUUAGGGUUGUAAAGCUCUUUCACCCACGACGAUGAUGACGGUAGUGGGAGAAGAAGCCCCGGCUAACUCCGUGCCAGCAGCCGCGGUAAUACGGAGGGGGCAAGCGUUGUUCGGAAUUACUGGGCGUAAAGGGCGCGUAGGCGGUCUGUCGCGUCAGGUGUGAAAGCCCCGGGCUCAACCUGGGAGGUGCACUUGAUACGGGCAGGCUCGAGUCCGAGAGAGGUGAGUGGAAUUCCCAGUGUAGAGGUGAAAUUCGUAGAUAUUGGGAAGAACACCAGUGGCGAAGGCGGCUCACUGGCUCGGAACUGACGCUGAGGCGCGAAAGCGUGGGGAGCAAAC
rnacentral:rRNA from 1 species